AGGGUUUGAUCAUGGCUCAGGACGAACGCUGGCGGCGUGCCUAAUACAUGCAAGUCGAGCGAAUUUUUGGGAGCUUGCUCCCAAAAGUUAGCGGCGGACGGGUGAGUAACACGUGGGCAACCUGCCUAUAAGACUGGGAUAACUUCGGGAAACCGGAGCUAAUACCGGAUAAUUCUUAUCUACUCAUGUAGAUAAGCUAAAAGACGGUUUCGGCUGUCACUUAUAGAUGGGCCCGCGGCGCAUUAGCUAGUUGGUGAGGUAACGGCUCACCAAGGCAACGAUGCGUAGCCGACCUGAGAGGGUGAUCGGCCACACUGGGACUGAGACACGGCCCAGACUCCUACGGGAGGCAGCAGUAGGGAAUCUUCCGCAAUGGACGAAAGUCUGACGGAGCAACGCCGCGUGAGUGAUGAAGGUUUUCGGAUCGUAAAACUCUGUUGUUUGGGAAGAACAAGUACGAGAGUAACUGCUCGUACCUUGACGGUACCUAACCAGAAAGCCACGGCUAACUACGUGCCAGCAGCCGCGGUAAUACGUAGGUGGCAAGCGUUGUCCGGAAUUAUUGGGCGUAAAGCGCGCGCA
rnacentral:rRNA from 1 species